GAUCAUGGCUCAGAUUGAACGCUGGCGGCAGGCCUAACACAUGCAAGUCGAACGGUAACAGGAAACAGCUUGCUGUUUCGCUGACGAGUGGCGGACGGGUGAGUAAUGUCUGGGAAACUGCCUGAUGGAGGGGGGAUAACUACUGGAAACGGUAGCUAAUACCGCAUAACGUCGCAAGACCAAAGAGGGGGGACCUUCGGGCCUCUUGCCAUCGGAUGUGCCCAGAUGGGAUUAGCUUGUUGGG
rnacentral:rRNA from 1 species